UACAGAGGUCUCAAGCGUUGUUCGGAUUUAUUGGGCGUAAAGGGCGCGUAGGCGGCGCGGUAAGUCGGGUGUGAAAUCUCGGAGCUUAACUCCGAAACUGCAUUCGAUACUGCCGUGCUUGAGGACUGGAGAGGAGACUGGAAUUUACGGUGUAGCGGUGAAAUGCGUAGAUAUCGUAAGGAAGACCAGUGGCGAAGGCGGGUCUCUGGACAGUUCCUGACACUGAGACACGAAGGCCAGGGGAGCAAACGGG
rnacentral:rRNA from 1 species